rnacentral:rRNA from 1 species
UAAAAAGCUUCAAACUGGGAUUAGAUACCCCACUAUGCUCAGCCGUAAACCCAGACGUUAAAUUACAAUAAACGUCCGCCAGGGUACUACAAGCGUUAGCUUAAAACCCAAAGGACUUGGCGGUGCCUCAGACCCCCCUAGAGGAGCCUGUUCUAGAACCGAUAACCCCCGUUAAACCUCNCCACAUCUAGUCAUCCCCGCCUAUAUACCGCCGUCGUCAGCUUACCCUGUGAAGGUACAACAGUAAGCUAAAUGGAUACAGUCCAAAACGCCAGGUCGAGGUGUAGCGCACGAAGUGGGAAGAAAUGGGCUACAUUUUCUAUGCAAGAAUAUUAACGAAUAGUAACCUGAAAACAUACUUGAAGGAGGAUUUAGUAGUAAAAAGGAAAUAGAGUGUCCUUUGAACCCGGCAUCAGGAGCGUCCA